UGGGGAAUUUUGGACAAUGGGCGAAAGCCUGAUCCAGCAAUGCCGCGUGUGUGAAGAAGGCCUUCGGGUUGUAAAGCACUUUUGUCCGGAAAGAAAUCCUUGGCUUCUAAUACAGUCGGGGGAUGACGGUACCGGAAGAAUAAGCACCGGCUAACUACGUGCCAGCAGCCGCGGUAAUACGUAGGGUGCAAGCGUUAAUCGGAAUUACUGGGCGUAAAGCGUGCGCAGGCGGUUUGCUAAGACCGAUGUGAAAUCCCCGGGCUCAAACCUGGGAACUGCAUUGGUGACUGGCAGGCUAGAGUAUGGCAGAGGGGGGUAGAAUUCCACGUGUAGCAGUGAAAUGCGUAGAGAUGUGGAGGAAUACCGAUGGCGAAGGCAGCCCCCUGGGGCCAAAUACUGACGCUCAUGCACGAAAAGCGUGGGGAGCAAACAGGAUUAGAUACCCUGGUAGUCCAGCGCCCUAAAACGAUGUCAACUAGUUGUUGGGGAUUCAUUUCCUAGUAACGUAGCUAACGCGUGAAGUUGACCGCCUGGGGAGUACGGUCGCAAGAUUAAAACUCAAAUGAA
rnacentral:rRNA from 1 species